AGAUUAGCAUGGCCCCUGCACAAGGAUGACAUGCAAAUUCGUGAAUAGCUUGGCAGCAAGGCAGAGAAUGGGUUUGAGGGAGGCGGACCAGAAGGAAGGAACCUGGAUAGAAGGCAGCAGCCCGGAAGCUGAGGCUGAGCUGAGGAGGAGAUGAAUUCAAACUGGCUGCAGGAGGCAAAAUCCGCAGGACUGGGACUUCCCCCAGGAAUUCCCUAAGGAGUCAAGGUGAAUGAAGUGUGUGGGGCCAACGGCCAUGACCACCAGAAGUGAAGUGCGUGAACCAGGGAUGACCCACAACUCAGCCCCCACCAGAGAGCCAGGCUCUGCCUGAACACGGAUCGAGGACCGGUGACAGGUCUGCGUGUGUUCUAUGAGAAGCAAGCCCGCACGGCUGGCUGAGAAUGAUCCGGCAGAAGUUAAUUAAGUCAAGGCAUUUCUGCUUCAACACAAGCACCCUCCAGCCUCACAGCCUUCUCCUCAAGAGCUUGUGCAGUCUAGCAACGCGCCUACUAGAACGGCGUACAGCCGGCGGCGCACAGCGGGGUCAACGCUGGCUCUUAAACCCCAGCUCUGCCGUUCCCUCCAUGGAGACCCGGGACAAGUCAGUUCACCUCUCUUCGCCUCAGUUUCCUCAUCUAUACACUAGACAUGGUGCUGACGGUGAUGAUGCUGAGUAAGGCGGUGGUGAUGACGGUGGCAGCCGUGGCGACAGUGAUAGUACCUGUCUCGCUGGGUCGUUGUGAAGAUUAAACAAGUUAAGGGACGUGGGUUGCCAAGAACACCGCGCUCGGCACAGAAGCAGGAGGUGGACUCAGUGUUGAUGGAGAAGUGGUGUCCAACCGUCGGGAACGAGGAAAGGAGGUUUGACCUGGAAGGUACUGUGAAGAUCAAUCUGCAAGACCCCUCGUUUUGUAUAUGAGGACACCAGGUGAACGGGCCAGGGAGUGACUGCGCCAGUAUCCUAAAGACGGUGAAACAUUAUACAAAGGCAGAAUUUUCUUUCAUCCGCCAGAUCAGCUACUUUAACCUUGGUAGGUUUUAAAAGGAAAGCCUGU